rnacentral:rRNA from 1 species
CGUCUCCUACGGGGGGCAGCAGUGAGGAAUAUUGGUCAAUGGACGAGAGUCUGAACCAGCCAAGUAGCGUGAAGGAUGACUGCCCUAUGGGUUGUAAACUUCUUUUAUAUGGGAAUAAAGUGAGGCACGUGUGCCUUUUUGUAUGUACUUUAUGAAUAAGGAUCGGCUAACUCCGUGCCAGCAGCCGCGGUAAUACGGAGGAUCCGAGCGUUAUCCGGAUUUAUUGGGUUUAAAGGGAGCGUAGAUGGGUUGUUAAGUCAGUUGUGAAAGUUUGCGGCUCAACCGUAAAAUUGCAAUUGAUACUG